rnacentral:misc_RNA from 1 species
CCGAGUUUACAACUCCCAAACCCCUGUGAACAUACCACUUGCUUGCCUCGGCGGAUCAGCCCGCUCCCGGUAAAACGGGACGGCCCGCCAGAGGACCCCUAAACUCUGUUUCUAUAUGUAACUUCUGAGUAAAACCAUAAAUAAAUCA